UACGAAGGGGGCAAGCGUUGUUCGGAAUUACUGGGCGUAAAGCGCGCGUAGGCGGCUUUGUAAGUUAGAGGUGAAAGCCCGGAGCUCAACUCCGGAACUGCCUUUAAGACUGCAUCGCUAGAAUUGUGGAGAGGUGAGUGGAAUUCCGAGUGUAGAGGUGAAAUUCGUAGAUAUUCGGAAGAACACCAGUGGCGAAGGCGACUCACUGGACACAUAUUGACGCUGAGGUGCGAAAGCGUGGGGAGCAAACAGG
rnacentral:rRNA from 1 species